GUAACACGUGAGCAACCUGCCCCGGACUCUGGGAUAAGCGCUGGAAACGGCGUCUAAUACCGGAUAUGAGACGUGAUCGCAUGGUCAACGUCUGGAAAGAUUUUUCGGUCUGGGAUGGGCUCGCGGCCUAUCAGCUUGUUGGUGAGGUAAUGGCUCACCAAGGCGUCGACGGGUAGCCGGCCUGAGAGGGUGACCGGCCACACUGGGACUGAGACACGGCCCAGACUCCUACGGGAGGCAGCAGUGGGGAAUAUUGCACAAUGGGCGGAAGCCUGAUGCAGCAACGCCGCGUGAGGGACGACGGCCUUCGGGUUGUAAACCUCUUUUAGCAAGGAAGAAGCGAAAGUGACGGUACUUGCAGAAAAAGCGCCGGCUAACUACGUGCCAGCAGCCGCGGUAAUACGUAGGGCGCAAGCGUUAUCCGGAAUUAUUGGGCGUAAAGAGCUCGUAGGCGGUUUGUCGCGUCUGCUGUGAAAACCCGAGGCUCAACCUCGGGCCUGCAGUGGGUACGGGCAGACUAGAGUGCGGUAGGGGAGAUUGGAAUUCCUGGUGUAGCGGUGGAAUGCGCAGAUAUCAGGAGGAACACCGAUGGCGAAGGCAGAUCUCUGGGCCGUAACUGACGCUGAGGAGCGAAAGGGUGGGGAGCAAACAGGCUUAGAUACCCUGGUAGUCCACCCCGUAAACGUUGGGAACUAGUUGUGGGGUCCAUUCCACGGAUUCCGUGACGCAGCUAACGCAUUAAGUUCCCCG
rnacentral:rRNA from 1 species